AGCAUAUCAAUAAGCGGAGGAAAAGAAACCAACAGGGAUUGCCCCAGUAACGGCGAGUGAAGCGGCAACAGCUCAAAUUUGAAAUCUGGCUCUCAGGGCCCGAGUUGUAAUUUGUAGAGGAUGCUUUUGGCGAGGUGCCUUCCGAGUUCCCUGGAACGGGACGCCACAGAGGGUGAGAGCCCCGUAUGGUCGGACACCGAGCCUCUGUAAAGCUCCUUCGACGAGUCGAGUAGUUUGGGAAUGCUGCUCAAAAUGGGAGGUAUAUGUCUUCUAAAGCUAAAUAUUGGCCAGAGACCGAUAGCGCACAAGUAGAGUGAUCGAAAGAUGAAAAGCACUUUGAAAAGAGGGUUAAAAAGUACGUGAAAUUGUUGAAAGGGAAGCGCCUAUGACCAGACUUGCGCCCGGUGAAUCACCCAGCGUUCUCGCUGGUGCACUUUGCCGGGCACAGGCCAGCAUCAGUUCAGCGCGGGGGAGAAAGGCUUCGGGAAUGUGGCUCCCUCGGGAGUGUUAUAGCCCGCUGCGUAAUGCCCUGCGCCGGACUGAGGUACGCGCAUUGCAAGGAUGCUGGCGUAAUGGUCAUCAGCGACCCGUCUUGAAACACGGACCAAGGAGUCGUCUUCGUAUGCGAGUGUUCGGGUGUCAAACCCCUACGCGUAAUGAAAGUGAACGCAGGUGAGAGCUUCGGCGCAUCACCGACCGAUCCUGAUGUUCUCGGAUGGAUUUGAGUAAGAGCAUACGGGGCCGGACCCGAAAGAAGGUGAACUAUGCCUGUAUAGGGUGAAGCCAGAGGAAACUCUGGUGGAGGCUCGCAGCGGUUCUGACGUGCGAAUCGAUCGUCAAAUAUGGGCAUGGGGGCGAAAGACUAAUCGAACCUUCUAGUAGCUGGUUUCCGCCGAAG
rnacentral:rRNA from 1 species